GUGCUCACUUUGGCAGCACAUAUAUUAAAAUUGGAGCAAUACAGGAAAGAUUAGCAUGGUUCCUACACAAGGAAGAUAAGUCUUAGUUUUGAUAUGACAUUCUGGUAC
ensembl:snRNA U6 U6 spliceosomal RNA